GACGUAGGGCGCGAGCGUUGUCCGGAUUUAUUGGGCGUAAAGAGCUCGUAGGCGGCUUGUUACGUCGACUGUGAAAACCCGCGGCUCAACCGUGUGGCUUGCAGUCGAUACGGGCAGGCUAGAGUUCGGUAGGGGAGACUGGAAUUCCUGGUGUAGCGGUGAAAUGCGCAGAUAUCAGGAGGAACACCGGUGGCGAAGGCGGGACUCUGGGCCGAUACUGACGCUGAGGAGCGAAAGCGUGGGGAGCAAACAGG
rnacentral:rRNA from 1 species